AGAUACAAGACCUGUCAAAUUGCAGCAGAUGUUAUAUAUCUCUAAGUUCACAUCCAUAUCUGCAGACAAAAUACAAAGAUCUCUCAGAUAACAGAAAUGAAAACGUCUGCCUGUAUGAAAAAUGGAGAAUUCUCCCCGUGCCUUCCACCAAAUACUCAUGGUAUGUAGUUAGAGACAGUUUGUGAGGUACAGAAAGUCAAGCAGGCGACUGUAGGCCGAGAAGCUAUGAAGCAGACGAUUGUACUUUUAGAAUCUUUAGAAUUUAGUUACAGACAUUUGUGUGAGGUUUUUGAAAUUGAAGUAGGAGAUUGUAGGCCUAAAAGCUCUGAAGACUGUUUACAGCCCCCUUAACAGCAAAGCUUGCGAUUUUUUCAUUCCUCUGGCGUGCAUUCAUUUGAUGUCUGAGGUGCUUUUCAGUAUAAUCUAUUAAGGGACAUUUGUUUAGACGUUUAGAUUGGAUCUAAAUUUGAGUUUUUAAGAGCAGCAAUUUA
rnacentral:lncRNA from 1 species